CAGCCACCUACACACUAUUCCCGCAGUGAAGCUCCUGUUCACACCUCACUUCAGUUCUGAAUGCUUUAUGAUGGUGCACAGCAACACUGAUGGAAGAAGUGAAAUGCCUUUGUAUGUCCAGAAAUAGAAGCAUCUUCACCAUCCCUCCUUCCUAAGGUGGGAGCUUGUCCCAUUGCUCCCUCUCUGGAGCAUGUGCAUCAGCUGCCUUGAAAUCUGCUUUCUUUAUCUCCUGCAGACAUUACUAAAGCUCUGGGACACGAUGAAAGGGAUGCCAUCCAGAAGGACCUUAACAGGCUUGAGAGGUGGACCCACGCAAACCUCAGGAAGUAGUGACAAAGAAAAAAAUCAUCUGACUACUUCAUGUACUAGUGUUUGGGCUAAAUUUAAACCGUGAAAACCAUUAGGACACUAUAUUUAAAUUUGUAUCUCAGUCUUCUCCUUUCUUAAAAUAUACAAAGUGAAAAAGAAAAAAUGGUUAAAGGUAACACAUUAAUUAGUGGAGAUCAAUACAGCACAAAAGAUGAAAAUGAGGCAAAGGAAAACAAAAGCAUCAAGUACCAGAGGAAGAGGAAGCAAGCGUCAGAGGGAAGAAAAAAGCCUCUCAACAUUUACCCAGGAAUUUCCACAAUAUUUUUGAACAAGUAAUGAGACCUAUGAACAAA